UGGAUCCUCACCACAUCCUGUGUCUCUGCUCCCACUCCCUGCAGCGUCCCUCCUGGGCUACAGAGCUCUGGACGGGCUGAAGGACCAUGACCCCGUCCCUGUCUGCCCUUCUCGGCCUCGGGCUGUGUCUGGGGCAGGUCGUGCAAACUCGGCAGGUCUCUCUGCCCAAGCCCUCCCUCCGUGCCCUGCCUAGCUCUCUAGUGCCGCUGGAGAAGCCGGUGACCAUCCAAUGCCAGGGGCCUCCGGGUGUGGACCUGUACCGCUUGGAGAAGCUGAGGUCUGGGAAGUAUGAGGAUCAGGCCGUCCUCUCCAUCCCGGCCAUGAAGCAAAGUUUCGCCGGGUGCUACCGCUGUUCCUACCAGAACGGGACCCGCUGGUCUCCCCCCAGCGACCGGCUGGAGCUGGUGGCUACCGAAGUUUACGCCAAGCCCUCGCUUUCAGCCCAGCCUGGCCCGGCCGUAUCCCCAGGAGGGGAUGUCACUCUACAGUGUCGCAGCCAAUACGGUUUUGACCAAUUUGCUUUAUACAAGGAGGGGGACACUGGCCCCUACAAGGGACCCGAGAGGUGGUACAGGGCCGAUUUCCCCAUCAUCACAGUGACUGCUGCCCACAGUGGGAUCUACCGAUGCUACAGCUUUUCCAGCCGACACCCAUACCUGUGGUCAGCCCCCAGCGACCCCCUGGAGCUUGUGGUCACAGGGACUUCCGCGACCCCCGGCUGGUUACCCACAGAACCACCUUCCUCUGUGACAGAAUUCCCAGAAGCCUCCAGGAAACUGAACAUCUCAUUUAUCAACAAAGGCUCCACAACUGAGCCUUCCAGGAAUAUCACCAUCUUUCCAAAGGGGUCAGACUCUCCAAUUGGUCUUGCCCGGCAGCACUACACCAAGGGCAAUCUGGUCCGGAUAUGCCUCGGGGCUGUGAUCCUAAUACUCUUGGUGGGGUUUCUGGCAGAAGACUGGCACAGCCGAAAGAAACCCCUGCUGCACUUGGUCAGAGCUGUCCACAGGCCACUCCCACCCCUUCCGCAAACCCAGAAGCCACACAGUUGGCAGGACAAGGGUCGACCAGAUGGCUAUACCCAUGGGUGCCACAACUAGGACCCCAAGGCUUGGCUCUGUCUGUGAGACGGGGAUUGUGGAGACCGUGUGUGGAACGCACUCACGAAACCUCAGACCCUGAGAAUGAAGAUGCUCUAGGAAAAACCUACAUCCAGCUGAACAAGAGGCCUUGAGACAGAAACAGAAGGAAGGAAACCUGUGGGAAAGUCCAGGAACCCACACUGUAUGCAGUGACAUCAGAGAGAUGAUACACAAGCACGUUCAAGGGCGGUUUGAAGGGGACAUCUGGGAACGUGGUGUAUUUGGUGAGAAUGAUGAACCGAUGAACCCCGGGGAUGAAACAGGAAAGUAGGAUGACUGAAAGAGUAAUUGACAAAUUAGCACUUAAUAAAAAAGUGAUUCUUAACAAUUAAUUGCCUUAAGGAAUUUUGGGAUUCUGUAGGUCACAAUGAAAUAAGGAGGGCUAGAUGGGGAAGGGCUACGCACACCAUGAACUUAUGUUUUCUGUAAGGGGGGAAUUAUUAAAAAGUUAAUAACAGCAAUGAUGUGAUCAUAUAUGCGCUUCAUUGAAGUGCUUAAGAAUGCUACAAAAUAUCGUAGGAUUUGUAGGAGAAAUACUCUUGAUGAGGAAGACCUAUAGACAGCUAUCCACGCAGGUCAAGAAAUGUCAGAGCUAGGCAGUGACUGGCAAAGUGAACGGACUGAUGGGAUCACAAACAUGUCUGUCCCCUUUCCCUGCUGGGUUAGGUUCUUCCCAAAUUAAGUAUCUUGUGUCUAAGUUUGGUCGGAAUCCAUUAAUAAACAUAACCUCCUUCAUGAA